UACGUAGGUGGCACUCGUUGUCCGGAUUUACUGGGCGUAAAGAGCGCGCAGGCGGUCGUUCAAGUCGCGUGUGAAAGCCCCCGGCUCAACUGGGGAGGGUCACGCGAUACUGAUCGACUCGAAGGCAGGAGAGGGUAGUGGAAUUCCCGGUGUAGUGGUGAAAUGCGUAGAUAUCGGGAGGAACACCAGUGGCGAAGGCGACUACCUGGCCUGUUCUUGACGCUGAGGCGCGAAAGCUAGGGGAGCAAACGGGAUGAGAAAACCCGGUAGUCC
rnacentral:rRNA from 1 species